AGUGGCAAACCCUAUAAUCCCUGCUGCCGAGGAGCUCGAGGCUGGGGGAUCACUUGAGUUUGGGAGUUCUAAGCUGCAUUAGGGCGAAAGUCAAUCAGGUGUCCACACUAAGUCCAGCACCGAUAUGAUGAACACCCCCAGCAAGGGUGGGAUGGGGUGGGUACCAGGUGGCCUAAGGAGGGGUGAAACUUCCCAGGUUGGAAACAGUACAGGUCAAAGUUCCUGUGCCAACUAGUAGCGGGAUAGAUCCCAUGAGUGGCCACAGUACUUUCUAGCCAAGGUGAGACAGGGAGACCUAGUUU
rnacentral:SRP_RNA from 1 species